UGAGUAUCCAUUAUGUACCUAUCUGUCAUUUUCAAUCGUCUAACAUUCCAAGGAAGAAGAUCAUUGUGCAUGCUUUCUAUUCAGAGGUACAGUGGGAGGUUGUCAGCUAGGAAACUGUAAUAUAUUGAAACAUUGGGAUAUAAGGUGGGGAAUGUCUUGGAGCAAAGAACAAUUGAAAUAGUGUUAAAAGCAGAGAGGAAUGCGGAUUUCCAAUUGAAAAAAAAGAGAGUAGAAAAUAAGCAAGGGCCCACAGCCAACUUGAACUUGCUCCGAUGUUUUUCUUCAGUUGAUUGUUCUGGAAUCACAUCAGUGAUAACAUGAAGGAUACGUCAUGUCCUUUGAGUUGCUCAUCAAUCUGUCACAAUUUUUGAUGGAGUGUCACUUCAGUAAACAACAGCAGCAGUACGUAGUGUCCCUACUUUUGGGGGUAAACUAAAUGGAUUCUUUUCCACCAUUAGGUUCUGCAUAAGGUUAAAUCAAGAGCAUUCAAAUUAUUUUUUCUGAUCUUCAAGAAAUUCUUUAAUAUAUCCCUCUACCGCAUUCCACUACUAUUACAAAUUGUCUCAUCUUGUCUAAUUACAACAUCUAUUGCUCUUCUUAGAAUAUGGUCAUAUCAUCAUAGAUGAUCAUCUCUCAUCUUAUCCUUCCUCUAUUCAAGUUGUACAUAAUUAUUUAUGAAUAAAAAUGCCACACAUCCCCCUUAACAUUGUUGUGUUCUUUACAUAGUUUGUUUUGUACAUAUUUCAUAUUUUCCCAACAUAGAAUCCAUAAAGCAUAAAGCAUGUCUGACCCAAUAACUAUCUGAAACUUACAUCCUUAAUUCUUCUAUUAGUAUUACUGAAAUUACAUCUCAUCUAUCUAAUCUUAAUCUCGCUUAAUCUAAAACUUUUAGUCCCUAAGGUUUGUCUGUAUAUGUUCAGAAUUGGUUUCACUUGAACACUUAUCAAUCAAAACAAUAUCAUAAAUAAAGAACAUAUAUUAUGUGGUGUCUAUCCUAUAUGUAAUGCUAGUAAUUUCUUCCAUUAUAAAAAGGGAUGAGGACUUCAAAUCGAUCCUUAAUAUAUAAGAAACUUGAUGCAUUAAUUUAUAAUUUUGACACUGGUGACUGUUUUAUUAUACAUAUCUUUUAGGAUAUCAAUAAAAUUAGUACCUAUACCUUUUUCAAAAUCCAUCUAUCAUAG
rnacentral:lncRNA from 1 species